CGGUCGUAGGGUCCGGCGGUAGAGUCCGAACAGCAUUUACGGACGUCGAGAAAGACGYYUUCGGCACUUCCGCCGUCGGACGGCUUCCGGACGCACUUCCCGUCGCCCCGCAGGGACGCCGCAGCCGGUCGGAGCAGCAGCGAGAGUCGGCCAUGAGGUCGCGCGACGGCNGGUGGCGGGGGAGCGGUCUCGGCACCGUUUCUCUCCCGAUUCUGGCCAGCGCGUACCGAGGCGCGACGCCCGACCGAGGUUAAGAAAGAGUCCGCCGAUAGGUCGGACUAGCCGCGCACUCGCGUCCACAGCGAGCGGUGGCCGUCGUCAGGUCUAGCCCGCCGAGCGGGAUGUCACUGGCCCGCAGUGACCUCGAUCUCGGGACCUCCGGUAGACGACUGUGCUUAUCCGCGGACGCGGCGACGGCUGGCGGCGAGUAGGUCGGUCACCCACCCGACCCGUCUUGAAACACGGACCAAGGAGUCUAACAUGUGCGCGAGUCACGGGGUCUUGACCAGGCCCAGAGGCGCAAUGAG
rnacentral:rRNA from 1 species